GUAUAUAUAAUUUAAAUAAAAUAUUAAACUGUGACUUUAAUUAUGAGAGUUAAAACCUNUGGUAUAAACCGAGAAGAAUUAGA
rnacentral:tRNA from 1 species